UACGUAGGGUGCGAGCGUUAAUCGGAAUUACUGGGCGUAAAGCGUGCGCAGGCGGCUUUGCAAGACAGAUGUGAAAUCCCCGGGCUCAACCUGGGAACUGCAUUUGUGACUGCAAGGCUAGAGUACGGCAGAGGGGGAUGGAAUUCCGCGUGUAGCAGUGAAAUGCGUAGAUAUGCGGAGGAACACCAAUGGCGAAGGCAA
rnacentral:rRNA from 1 species